UGGGGGAUAUUGCACAAUGGGCGAAAGCCUGAUGCAGCGACGCCGCGUGGGGGAUGAAGGCCUUCGGGUUGUAAACUUCUUUUGCUCUGAACAAGGCAUGCUAAUGGGUGUGUUGAGUGUAGGGGUUGAUUAGCGCCGGCUAACUACGUGCCAGCAGCCGCGGUAAUACGUAGGGCGCGAGCGUUGUCCGGAAUUAUUGGGCGUAAAGGGCUUGUAGGUGGCUGGUUGCGUCUGUCGUGAAAGCUCAUGGCUUAACUGUGGGUUUGCGGUGGGUACGGGCUGGCUUGAGUGCAGUAGGGGAGGCUGGAAUUCCUGGUGUAGCGGUGGAAUGCGCAGAUAUCAGGAGGAAUACCGGUGGCGAUGGCGGGUCUCUGGGCUGUUACUGACACUGAGGAGCGAAAGCAUGGGGAGCGAACAGG
rnacentral:rRNA from 1 species